CGGCCUACGGGGGGCUGCAGUGAGGAAUAUUGGUCAAUGGGCGCAAGCCUGAACCAGCCAAGUCGCGUGAGGGAAGACGGUCCUAUGGAUUGUAAACCUCUUUUGUCGGGGAGCAAAGCGCGGUACGCGUACCGUGAAGGAGAGUACCCGAAGAAAAAGCAUCGGCUAACUCCGUGCCAGCAGCCGCGGUAAUACGGAGGAUGCGAGCGUUAUCCGGAUUUAUUGGGUUUAAAGGGUGCGUAGGCGGAUUUGUAAGUCAGCGGUAAAAAUGCGGUGCUCAACGCCGUAUCGCCGUUGAAACUGCGGGUCUUGAGUGAGCGAGAAGUAUGCGGAAUGCGUGGUGUAGCGGUGAAAUGCAUAGAUAUCACGCAGAACUCCGAUUGCGAAGGCAGCAUACCGGCGCUCAACUGACGCUGAGGCACGAAAGCGUGGGGAUCGAACAGGAUUAGAUACCCCUGUAGUC
rnacentral:rRNA from 1 species